CAGCAGCCGCGGUAAUACGGAGGGUGCAAGCGUUAAUCGGAAUUACUGGGCGUAAAGCGCACGCAGGCGGUUUGUUAAGUCAGAUGUGAAAUUCCUGGGCUUAACCUGGGGGCUGCAUUUGAGACGUCAAGACUAGAGUGUGUCAGAGGGGGGUAGAAUUCCACGUGUAGCAGUGAAAUGCGUAGAUAUGUGGAGGAAUACCGAUGGCGAAGGCAGCCCCCUGGGAUAACACUGACGCUCAUGCACGAAAGCGUGGGGAGCAAACAGGAUUAGAUACCCGUGUAGUCCCUGUCUCUUAUAA
rnacentral:rRNA from 1 species